GGCUGGUGUGCAGGUGGUGCAUUAUAUCAUUUGAUUGUUCACAGUCAGUUACAGACUGAACUUCUGGGCCUACUCUUUCCCCCUUCUCUUUACUGCACUUCACUAGUCAAGA
rnacentral:Y_RNA from 1 species